GACAGAGGGUGCAAACGUUGUUCGGAAUUACUGGGCGUAAAGCGCGUGUAGGCGGCUAAGUAAGUCGGGCGUGAAAUCCCACGGCUCAACCGUGGAAGUGCACUCGAAACUGCAUAGCUAGAGUCCUGGAGAGGAAGGUGGAAUGCUUGGUGUAGAGGUGAAAUUCGUAGAUAUCAAGCGGAACACCGGUGGCGAAGGCGGCCUUCUGGACAGUGACUGACGCUAAGACGCGAAAGCGUGGGGAGCAAACAGG
rnacentral:rRNA from 1 species